rnacentral:rRNA from 1 species
AUUGAACGCUGGCGGCAGGCCUAACACAUGCAAGUCGAGCGAGCGGCGGACGGGUGAGUAAUGUAUGGGGACUGCCCGAUAGAGGGGGAUAACUACUGGAAACGGUAGCUAAUACCGCAUACUAUCGGAUAACCCAUAUGGGAUUAGCUAGUAGGUGAGGUAAUGGCUCACCUAGGCGACGAUCACUAGCUGGUCGGAGAGGAGGAUCAGCCACACUGGGACUGUGACACGGCCCAGACUCCGACGGAGGCAGCAGGGGGGAAUAGUGCACAAUGGGCGCAAGCCUGAUGCAGCCAUGCCGCGUGUAUGAAGAAGGCCCUAGGGUUGUAAAGUACUUUUGGCAGGGAAGCGGUAUCUGCAGAAUAAGCACCGGCUAACUACGUGCCAGCAGCCGCGGUAAUAC